CCUACGGGAGGCAGCAGUGAGGAAUAUUGGUCAAUGGACGAGAGUCUGAACCAGCCAAGUAGCGUGAAGGAUGACUGCCCUAUGGGUUGUAAACUUCUUUUAUAAAGGAAUAAAACGAGGCACGUGUGCCUUUUUGCAUGUACUUUAUGAAUAAGGAUCGGCUAACUCCGUGCCAGCAGCCGCGGUAAUACGGAGGAUCCGAGCGUUAUCCGGCUUUAUUGGGUUUAAAGGGAUCGUAGUUGGGUUGUUAAGUCAGUUGUGAAAGUUUGCGGCUCAACCGUAAAAUUGCAUUUGAUACUGGCAGUCUUGAGUACAGUUGAGUUAGGCGGAUUUCGUGGUGUAGCCG
rnacentral:rRNA from 1 species